rnacentral:sRNA from 1 species
GCCAGGUGUCGUGGUGCAUGCCUGUAAUCCCAGUAGCUUGGGAGGUUGAGGCAAGAGGAUCUCGAGUUCAAAGCCAGCCUCAGUAACUUUGUGAGGCCCUAAGAAACUCAGUGAGACCCUGUCUCUA